CGCGCAGGCGGCCCUGAAAGUCUUUCGUGAAAUCCCACAGCUCAACUGUGGAACUGCGGAAGAUACUGCAGGGCUUGAGUCCGGGAGAGGGGAGUGGAAUUCCCAGUGUAGCGGUGAAAUGCGUAGAUAUUGGGAGGAACACCGGUGGCGAAGGCGGCUCCCUGGACCGGUACUGACGCUGAGGCGCGAAAGCUAGGGGAGCAAACG
rnacentral:rRNA from 1 species